GGCAAAGGUGGCCUCUCAGGACUGGGAAGGGCUAGUCGCCGUCGAGGAUCAAGCGAAAGGGGGGAUUCGCCUUAAAGACCACUCAAGUCUUUAAAAAAGGAGAGUUUGUCUGCGACUAUCAUGGAGUCUUGAUGGAUGGGAAAGAAGGAUAGGUGCAGCGCUCCAUCACCGACGGGAAGUGCUACAUCUACUUCUUUAGGCACGAAGAAAAAAAAAUGUGUGUGAAUGCUACGAAGGCUCACCCACUGUACCCACAAAAAAAAAUCUGCAUAUCUCUUUAACUUCACAGACCUUCAUCAAGAAAGAGGCAAAGGAGUGAAGCAGACGAAAUAUCAGAAGAAGAGCAACAGGAGGGAGAGCGAAGUGAAGUAGAAGAUCCUGAAGAAGUCGUGGCGGACGUCAGGGAAGAAUCCUUCAAGAGGCUGCUGAGAUGGUGUCCAGUGAGACUGGACCACCCACUUCCAUCACUGACGACUAGUAAAGACAUCAAUCAGCGCCAUGCUUAGUACUGUCAGGACAGAUGGCAAAGGAGACAGUACCAGAUGCCUAUAAGUGACGCCGUCGAACACUUCAGGAGCCUUCCCACGGAAGAGAUGGUUGACAUCUACAUGGAGCGACAGAGCUGGACAAGCAACCUCCCCAAAGCUUGGGAUGUUCUAAAGGCUUGGAAACCUCCGCAGUCGUGAAGAAAGCACGGACGCUUUCCGAACUUUGAGGCAAAGGUGGCCUCUCAGGACUGGGAAGGGCUAGUCGCCGUCGAGGAUCAAGCGAAAGGGGGGAUUCGCCUUAAAGACCACUCAAGUCUUUAAAAAAGGAGAGUUUGUCUGCGACUAUCAUGGAGUCUUGAUGGAUGGGAAAGAAGGAUAGGAGGUGCAGCGCUCCAUCACCGACGGGAAGUGCUACAUCUACUUCUUUAGGCACCAAGAAAUAAAAAAUGUGUGUGAAUGCUACGAAGGCUCACCCACUGUACCCACAAAAAAAAUCUGCAUAUCUCUUUAACUUCACAGACCUUCAUCAAGAAAGAGGCAAAGGAGUGAAGCAGACGAAAUAUCAGAAGAAGAGCAACAGGAGGGAGAGCGAAGUGAAGUAGAAGAUCCUGAAGAAGUCGUGGCGGACGUCAGGGAAGAAUCCUUCAAGAGGCUGCUGAGAUGGUGUCCAGUGAGACUGGACCACCCACUUCCAUCACUGACGACUUGUAAAGACAUCAAUCAGCGCCAUGCUUAGUACUGUCAGGACAGAUGGCAAAGGAGACAGUACCAGAUGCGUAUAAGUGACGCCGUCGAACACUUCAGGAGCCUUCCCACGGAAGAGAUGGUUGACAUCUACAUGGAGCGACAGAGCUGGACAAGCAACCUCCCCAAAGCUUGGGAUGUUCUAAAGGCUUGGAAACCUCCGCAGUCGUGAAGAAAGCACGGACGCUUUCCGAACUUUGAGGCAAAGGUGGCCUCUCAGGACUGGGAAGGGCUAGUCGCCGUCGAGGAUCAAGCGAAAGGGGGGAUUCGCCUUA